rnacentral:rRNA from 1 species
GACAGAGGAUGCAAGCGUUUAUCCGGAAUGAUUGGGCGUAAAGCGUCUGUAGGUGGCUUUUUAAGUCCGCCGUCAAAUCCCAGGGCUCAACCCUGGACAGGCGGUGGAAACUACCAAGCUGGAGUACGGUAGGGGCAGAGGGAAUUUCCGGUGGAGCGGUGAAAUGCGUAGAGAUCGGAAAGAACAACCAACGGCGAAAGCACUCUGCUGGGCCGACACUGACACUGAGAGACGAAAGCUAGGGGGAGCGAAUGGGAUUAGAACCUACCUGUCAGUCCAAGC